rnacentral:rRNA from 1 species
CCCUUAGAUGUUCUGGGCAGCACGCGCGCUACAAUGGUCUUCGCAAACGGAUGCAUUCUCGAAGGAGAAUGCCAAUCUUGGAAUCUAUGCCUUGGUCGGGACAGUUGCGUGCAAUUUUUCGACUCGAACCAGGAAUUCCUUGUAAUCGUGAUUCAUCACAUCACGAUGAAUACGUCCCUGCCCUUUGUACACACCGCCCGUCGCUCCUACCGAUCGAAGAGUUAGGUGAAUUGUUUUGAUCGAUAAGAUUUGACUAUGGUCAACUCUCGUUGUGAAAUUCUGUGAAUCUGACUGUUUAGAGGAAGGAAAAGUCGUAACA